AUUGAACGCUUGCGGCAUGCUUUACACAUGCAAGUCGAACGGUAACAGGCCGCAAGGUGCUGACGAGUGGCGAACGGGUGAGUAAUGCAUCGGAACGUGCCCAGUCGUGGGGGAUAACGCAGCGAAAGCUGCGCUAAUACCGCAUACGAUCUAUGGAUGAAAGCGGGGGACCGUAAGGCCUCGCGCGAUUGGAGCGGCCGAUGUCAGAUUAGGUAGUUGGUGGGGUAAAGGCUCACCAAGCCAACGAUCUGUAGCUGGUCUGAGAGGACGACCAGCCACACUGGGACUGAGACACGGCCCAGACUCCUACGGGAGGCAGCAGUGGGGAAUUUUGGACAAUGGGCGCAAGCCUGAUCCAGCAAUGCCGCGUGCAGGAAGAAGGCCUUCGGGUUGUAAACUGCUUUUGUACGGAACGAAAAGGCUCUGGAUAAUACCUGGGGCUCAUGACGGUACCGUAAGAAUAAGCACCGGCUAACUACGCGCCAGCCGCCGCCGUAACAC
rnacentral:rRNA from 1 species